rnacentral:rRNA from 1 species
CCUACGGGUGGCAGCAGUAGGGAAUAUUGCUCAAUGGGGGAAACCCUGAAGCAGCAACGCCGCGUGGAGGAUGAAGGUUUUCGGAUUGUAAACUCCUUUUGUUAGAGAAGAUAAUGACGGUAUCUAACGAAUAAGCACCGGCUAACUCCGUGCCAGCAGCCGCGGCAAUACGGAGGGUGCAAGCGUUACUCGGAAUCACUGGGCGUAAAGGGCGCGUAGGCGGGAUAGCAAGUCAGCUGUGAAAUCCUAUGGCUUAACCAUAGAACUGCAUUUGAAACUGUUAUUCUAGAGUGUGGGAGAGGUAGGUGGAAUUCUUGGUGUAGGGGUAAAAUCCGUAGAGAUCAAGAGGAAUACUCAUUGCGAAGGCGACCUGCUAGAACAUAACUGACGCUGAUGCGCGAAAGCGUGGGGAGCAAACAGGAUUAGAUACCCUAGUAGUC